CCUACGGGGUGCAGCAGUGAGGAAUAUUGGUCAAUGGGCGCGAGCCUGAACCAGCCAAGUAGCGUGAAGGAUGACUGCCCUACGGGUUGUAAACUUCUUUUAUAAGGGAAUAAAGUGAGGCACGUGUGCCGUUUUGUAUGUACUUUAUGAAUAAGGAUCGGCUAACUCCGUGCCAGCAGCCGCGGUAAUACGGAGGAUCCGGGCGUUAUCCGGAUUUAUUGGGUUUAAAGGGAGCGUAGAUGGGUUGUUAAGUCGGUUGUGAAAGUUUGCGGCUCAACCGUAAAAUUGCGGUGGAUACUGGCAGGCUUGAGUACGGUUGAGGUAGGCGGAAUUCGUGGUGUAGCGGUGAAAUGCUUAGAUAUCACGAAGAACUCCGAUUGCGAAGGCAGCUUACGAAACUGCUACUGACGUUGAUGCUCGAAAGUGUGGGUAUCGAACAGGAUUAGAUACCCUUGUAGUC
rnacentral:rRNA from 1 species